AACGCAAAUUGCGCCCGAGGCCUCGGCCGAGGGCAUGUCUGCCUCAGCGUCGGUUUACACCCUCGCCCUCCCCUUCAUUGGGGCGGGGCGGAACUGGCCCUCCCGGCCGCCUGCUCCUGGCAGUGCCACCGGGCCGGCUGAAGCGCAGAGGCUUGAGCAUGGACCCCGUUUGCAGGGCAAUGACUUGGUAGGUAGGACCCCCCACUCACGCCUGCCGUUGCCCGAGGGGACUUUGCUGGAGGCCCAUCCGGGGCUUGGGGCGGCUUUUGUCCCCAGCCCCACCCUUUCAAACCUUCGACCUGAGCUCAGGCAAGACUACCCGCUGAACUUAA
rnacentral:misc_RNA from 1 species